AACGCACAUUGCGCCCUGUGGUAUUCCGCAGGGCAUGCCUGUUCGAGCGUCAUUUCAACCCUCAAGCUCUGCUUGGUGUUGGGCCCUGCCCAUUGCGGCCGGCCUCAAAAUCAGUGGCGGCGCCAUCUGGCUCUAAGCGUAGUACAUCUCUCGCUCUAGGGUCCGGUGGUGGCUUGCCAUAACCCCAACUUCUAUGGUUGACCUCGGAUCAGGUAGGGAUACCCGCUGAACUUAA
rnacentral:misc_RNA from 1 species